CUGUAGUUUAAAUAAAAAUACCGGUCUUGUAAGCCGAUAGAUGAGAAAUUCUCCUUUGGCU
rnacentral:tRNA from 1 species